UACGUAGGGUGCAAGCGUUUAAUCGGAAUUACUGGGCGUAAAGCGUGCGCAGGCGGUUAUGUAAGACAGAUGUGAAAUGCCCGGGCUUAACCUGGGAACUGCAUUUGUGACUGCAUGGCUAGAGUUUGGCAGAGGGGGGUAGAAUUCCACGUGUAGCAGUGAAAUGCGUAGAUAUGUGGAGGAACACCGAUGGCGAAGGCAGCCCCCCUGGGUCAAAAACUGACGCUCAUGCACGAAAGCGUGGGGAGCAAACAGG
rnacentral:rRNA from 1 species